rnacentral:rRNA from 1 species
GAUGAACGCUGACAGAAUGCUUAACACAUGCAAGUCUACUUGAUUCUACUUCGGUAGUUGAUGGUGGCGGACGGGUGAGUAACGCGUAAAGAAUCUGCCCUUUAGUUUGGGAUAACCUUUGGAAACGAAGGCUAAUACCGGAUAUUAUGGAGACGUCGCAUGGCGACUCCAUGAAAGCUAUAUGCGCUAGAGGAGGACUUUGCGUCCCAUUAGUUAGUUGGUGAGGUAAUGGCUCACCAAGACCGCGAUGGGUAGCCGGCCUGAGAGGGUGAUCGGCCACAAGGGAACUGAGACACGGUCCUUACUCCUACGGGAGGCAGCAGUGGUGAAUAUUGGACAAUGGGCCACAAGCCUGAUCCAGCAAUUCUGUGUGCACGAUGAAGGUCUUCGGAUUGUAAAGUGCUUUCAGCAGGGAAGAAAAAAAUGACGGUACCUACAGAAGAAGCGACGGCUAAAUAUGUGCCAGCCGCCGCCGUAAAAC